GACGGAAUGGCCGAGAGGUUAAGGCGGUUGACUUAAGAAAAGCACGCUUACUUCAACUUCUCGAAAGAGAGCGUGGGUUCGAACCCCACUUUCGUCA